CAACCUUUGGACUGAAGAGUUUAACACUAGAGUUCAACAAAAAUCUGAAAGAUGUUGAAGUCAUCAUUCUGCAGGAGACAUGGUGUAAGGCUGACAUUGUCACUCACUGUCCCACAGGCUACAGAGAGGUAAUUGUGCCGUCACAGAAACACAGCUCUGUCAAUAGAGGCAGAGACUCUGGAGGAUUGAUCAUUUGGUACAGAUCCGAACUACAAAAUCGAAUUGAUCUCCUCAAAAUUGAAACAGCAGACAGCACCAUCAACAAAAACAGAAGGGAUCUGUUGCAGCUCUGUGGAAGCCUGGGUCUGUACUUUGUCAAUGAGUACCUGAGCCCUGGGACCAUGCCUCAGAACUACCUGGCCUGACGACUCCUGGCUGUCCCUGUCCCCAGUCCACCUGGUUGUGCUGUUGACCCAGUUUCUGCUGUUCUGCCUACGGCUAUGGAACCCUGACCUAUUCACCGGACAUGCUACCUUGUCCCGGACCUGCUGUUUUUGACCCUCUCUUCCCCAUCUCCCUCUCUCUCUCUCACUCCCUCUAUCGCUCCUUUUCUACCGUACCUGCUGUCUCAACCUCUGAAUGCUCAGCUAUGAAAAACCAACUGACAUUUACUCCUGAGGUACUGACCUCUACAACUACUGUGAUUAUUAUUUGACCCUGUUUGAACAUCUUUAAGAACUGGCCUUAAUGGCCACGUACUUUUAUAAUCUGCACAGCCAGAAGAGGACUGGCCAACCCUCAGAGCCUGGUUCCUCUCUAGGUUUCUAACUCAGUUCCUACCUUUCUAGGGAGUUUUUCCUAGCCACCAUGGUUCUAAAUUUAUAAAUACAUUUGAUUGAAAUUUGAUUGAAUCAAUUGUUGUUCCCCAAAAAGUCCUCACAAGAA
rnacentral:lncRNA from 1 species